rnacentral:rRNA from 1 species
AGUGUAGAUCAGAGUUUGAUCCUGGCUCAGGACGAACGCUGGCGGCGUGCCUAAUACAUGCAAGUAGAACGCUGAAGGAGGAGCUUGCUCUUCUGGAUGAGUUGCGAACGGGUGAGUAACGCGUAGGUAACCUGCCUGGUAGCGGGGGAUAACUAUUGGAAACGAUAGCUAAUACCGCAUAAGAGUAGAUGUUGCAUGACAUUUGCUUAAAAGGUGCAAUUGCAUCACUACCAGAUGGACCUGCGUUGUAUUAGCUAGUUGGUGGGGUAACAGCUCACCAAGGCGACGAUACAUAGCCGACCUGAGAGGGUGAUCGGCCACACUGGGACUGAGACACGGCCCAG